UACGUAGGGGGCAAGCGUUAUCCGGAUUUACUGGGUGUAAAGGGAGCGUAGACGGCUGUGCAAGUCUGAAGUGAAAGCCCAGGGCUCAACCCUGGGACUGCUUUGGAAACUUUUUUGCUGGAGUACCGGAGAGGUAAGCGGAAUUCCUAGUGUAGCGGUGAAAUGCGUAGAUAUUAGGAGGAACACCAGUGGCGAAGGCGGCUUACUGGACGGUAACUGACGUUGAGGCUCGAAAGCGUGGGGAGCAAACAGG
rnacentral:rRNA from 1 species